AGUCUUAUAUUCAAAAAUGAUUUUAAAUUGCAAAUUUAAAGGUGGCUAAAUGUCUAAGGCUU
rnacentral:tRNA from 1 species